ACUGGGCGUAAAGGGUGCGCAGGCGGUUUUGCAAGUCAGAUGUGAAAGCCCCGGGCUUAACCUGGGAAUUGCGUUUGAAACUACAAGGCUAGAGUGCAGCAGAGGGGAGUGGAAUUCCAUGUGUAGCAGUGAAAUGCGUAGAGAUGUGGAAGAACACCGAUGGCGAAGGCAGCUCCCUGGGUUGACACUGACGCUCAUGCACGAAAGCGUGGGGAGCAAACAGGAUUAGAUACCCUGGUAGUCCACGCCCUAAACGAUGUCAACUGUGUUGUCGGAUCUAAUUAAGGAUUUGGUAACGUAGCUAACGCGUGAAGUUGACCGCCUGGGGAGUACGGUCGCAAGAUUAAAA
rnacentral:rRNA from 1 species